CCCAGAUGUCUGGAAACCGAACAAAACAACCUAAAUCUGUACCACCAGACAUCUGGUGUGGGUGAUCGUCUCGACAGUGCUGCACUGAAGCACAUCUCAUGUACUACACUGCCUCUAACUACCUUUAACCUUCAGUUUUGACUUAUAGUGGUAUGAUUGACAGCUGUCAUCGUGUCUUAAAUGUUCAUCAUGGCCUCAAGAGAGGUCGAGGUGUAAGGUCAGCUCAGACCUGGUAGAGACUCUCUUGUUGCUCAAGGACGUUUCAGCUGCAGGGCUGCUGCAUCAAUGAUAGCUGCUCUGCUCUGCUGCCAACCAGCUGCUGACCAGUUGUUGCUUGUCGAGGUCAAGUUCUGGGCAUUGAAGACUAAGUGAAGAAAAAGACAAGGUUGAAUGUUCAAACCCCUUUUUUUCUAGUGUUCACUCACCUUCGUCCACCUGUCCUCUCCCCUCGGGCUUCCUCCGCAGCGCUCCCCCGGCUCCUCGCCAGUCCACCUGCCACCACACCGCUCCCUUCCCCGGUCUCCUGUCCUCCACGGCUCCCUCGCCUCUCCUCCUCCGCCUCAGCAGCUCCUCGGUCCUCCAUGCCCACGUUCCCCGGCGUCCACCUCACCACGUUCUUCUCUUACCCAGCCUCCCUGUUCCCCUAAAUAAACAUCUUUAACUGAG